CAUGAAUUGAAAGCCUGUUCAAUCUUACUUUCUACAGCAAUUGGGCAGCCAAAUCACCAAAAUCACGCGACCCGCCGAUAAAAAAGAAAUCCUCUUCUACAACGAUAAGAGCUUUGACUUCACAGUUGACGAGGAAUUCAUAAAAUUAUGGCGAGGCCUGUCCGUAGAUGGGGUAGAUGAAAAUAAGAUAGAUGAGUACCUGGACCAGCGGGGAAUCACUACCAUGCAGGACGUCGGAGCAAAAACAGCAGCUCCAGUACAGAAACGAAAACGAAAAGGUGGCAAUCGAAAAAAGACAUUCAAAUCACACAACGACCAUUUAGGAAACUUGUUAGAAGACUAUUCAAACGUGGACAAGUGAGACAGUUAUCAAUUUUGUAAGGACUUGUGUGAUUGGCUGAAGUAAUUCAGAAAUGAGUUAGGUCGGGUCUGAUUGGUUGGAAUUCUGCUGCAGAGUUUUAUGGAGAAAAGUGUCUGCCGUGACUAUAUGCGUUGCCAAAAAGGUGGAAAUCGUUAUGACUGUCCGGUUGCAUGCAUCACUUGAUUGACAUCGAUGUUCAAAGUUAAAUGGAGAACACGGGCGCUGACAAACUAUGUCCUUAAACAUGUUAAAGGGACAACUUGGGCAUGAGAUAUGUUGGUUUUUUCAUUACAAAAAUGGCUUCCAGCAGGAGCGUGAUUUCUCCAAACGGGAUAAUUAAAAAGUCAUUGAACUGCAAUAACCAAUGCACAAGAACGGGGUGUAAAUUUAGGCCUGUUUGAAAUUCGCAAGCCAUGCCCAGAACUGCCUUCCAACACUGGUGAAAAUCAGAGAACGGCAUCAGUGUGAUACUACCAGUGGUGACGCAUGGUGUCAAGCUGGCACAUUUUCCUCCUGGCCAGGUAAAUCCCACGCCCAGGUUGUCCCUUUAAUAAGAUUGAGCUCGGGGCACGGCCGCUCUUGAUUGGUUCCUAAUUUUCAUUUGCUCUGAAACGGUAUUUGGCACUAAAUUUCUAGGAAGCCACGCCCCCCACAAACCUCAACCAAUGAAAUCGCAUAUAAACAACAAGAAACCUGAACACGUUGGGGUAUCGCGGCUGACUUUUGUUAAGACGUAGCGUAAACUACAUUCUCUGUUCGCAAUAGAAUUUAACCUGGUUGACCAAAUUUGUAAAGUCAUUCAUUGAAAAAGUACCAAUUGUACGAAAUGUCUGAAUAGACUGGAAUCGUUGCAUUUGUUUAUUUAAACCCACACUGAAACGGUAUUUGGGCAAUUUGUUUUGUAGGAGGAAACCAGUGCACCCGGAGGGAACGAAAACAAAACGUGUUGAAUUAGACUGAGUGUUGCGCAAACCUGCCUCAGUAAAAGUUUGAAAGAUACUUAGUUAAAAAGAUGUGGAUGGGGAUGUUUUUAGAAAUGAAUCAAAUAAAACGUUUUGUUGUUCGAA